GUCUCCCCUAUAUUUGCACGACGUCGCACAAGUACAAGAUACAUAAACGGAUACAACCACUAUAACUGAAUAUACAAACAUUCAACAUUCAUACAUUCAUACACCAUUCACCAAUAUAUUUACAAUCAGAGUUUAUUCAGAAAUCCAUAACUAUUAGUUUAAAAUAUUUUCUACCCGGAAACUCAUUUUGAAAUACUAAUUUAUGAAAACUACGAGAAAACCUUUUCAAAACCGUUUCCCAUACGGAAACCCUUUUUCUUUAAAACACGCUACCACGAGAGG
rnacentral:lncRNA from 1 species